rnacentral:lncRNA from 1 species
AUUAGAAAAAGUGUAUAUAUAUAUAUAUUUUUUUUUUUGCAAAGUAAAUACUAUUCCGAUUUUUGUAGGAAAGAUAAACUAGAAAAAUAAAAAUUUCGAUAAAAAUAUGAAAAAAAAUCACUAGAAAAAAAUGGUCUACAUAAAUGUACAGUUUAUUCCAAAUGGGGUCUGACUAUGUAGAAAAAAACACUAAUAGCACCUUAACAAUUCCAACACUCUUAGAAGUGGGCUGUGAUUAUAUUUUCAACUAAGAAAAAAUGGUUUCCACUAAGUAAACUACAGGUUGGAAAUGGGAACUAAAAGAUUAUAUAUAUGUAAUUUCUGAAGUCUAUAAUGUCCCGUUUAAAUAAUUUUGGGUUUCGUUUUGGAUUCAUUUUGAUGAUAAAAAAUGUUCAUAUUAUAUACUCCGUCGUAAAAUCAGCAAUGUAAAAAAAUCAAAUUGAUCAAGCACAGUUCGGUAUUUGUACUUGAGGAUAAAAAAAAGUCCACUUAUUUUAGUAGUAAUAUAUUACUUACUAUGAAUGUUUUAAAAUUGCAUGCAUAACCUCCAAUGAUUUUUGGAAUUUUUAAUGCCCACCUUUAUUAUUUGUUCAUUUAUAAUUUUUGAAUUGCAUGUACAUUUUUCCUCUCGAAGAUUAUUGGGGGUGUAAUCCGAAUUGUAAGUUAGGAUUUUUUGACUUUUUAAGAACCAGAACUUACUCGAUCAUUCAUAUCACCAGUGGCGGACCUAAAAAUUAUUGUUAGGGGAGUCAAAUUAUACAUUUUCAAUGAAUAUUUCGAUAAAAACAUUUAGGGAGGCCAAUUAUGUAUAAUUAAUAACAAAAUAAUCAAAAAUAACAAAAAAAUAUUAUUAAAAAAAUAUUUUUUUCCCCAAAUGUGGGGGCCUACCCCGGUCCGCCCCUGCAUAUUACUACGAUAAGACAAAUGGUAUGAUUCGAAUUUGACCAUUUUAUGAUUAUUUAAGAUUUGUUGCCCAUGACUAUAUAUUUGAACAAGUGCAAAGUCAGAACUUAAAUUCAACGGUAUCAAAAUUAUCAGAAAUUAUGUUUAGUAAGGUUAAAAUUAUAAAAUUUAUAAAAGUUAUGACAAAUUACUAUUUUUUUGUUAGAUCAAAAUUAUAUUAUGGAUAGUAGUGCAAGUGCAAAGUCAGGAAUUAAGUUCAGCGGUAUCAAAAUUGUCAAAAAUUAUGUUCAAUGAGGUUAAAAUUAUAAAAUUUAUGACAAAUUAUUUUUUUUUUGUCAGGUCAAAAUUAUAUUUAUAAUAAAUUAUAUUAUAGAUAGUAGUGUAAUUUUUAUCCGUCAAUUAACCUUACUUGCCUUGUAAUAGCUCCGCCCAUGAAUUAUAAUCAUGUGUCUGUCCCUGGAAAUGGUUAUAAUAUUCAUUUUCUAUUUACUCUUUCUCAAAUUUUAUUUUUUUAGCAGUUGCAUCCUUAAAUUAUUAUUAUUAUUAUUAUUAUUAAUAUUAUUUCACUAAAUACUUGAGGCACUGAGAAUGUGCUGUACAGUAAGUACUACGAUCCAAUUGAAUCUUAAAGCCGUGAAGGAGCAGGACAAUCAAAGUCGUCCUGCAUGUGUGGUGCAUAAUUCACGCACAGACUCACCUGCUUGGUUCAUGAUUUUGGUCUCCCACACACAGGACACUAGUACUCAACUACUAACCAGUCGACAAAUGUUUCAAAAUUAUUUUUUUGCAUAAUAUUUUUUUAAAAAUAGAAAAAUAUUCAGUAAUUAUAAAAAAUCACUUUCUCCCUGUUUUUAGAAUCAAUUUUACAAAAUAAUUUUAAAAAUUAAUUCGGGGGACAAUUUUAUAACCUUGUGUUUUAUGAAGAUUUUUCAAAAAAAAAAAUAGAAAAUAUCAGGAAGAUAUUCUCCAAUCCUCAAAAACCAUUUUCUCCUGUUUUUAAAAUCAAUUUUGUAAAAUAAUUUUCAAAAAUUAUUUAAGGUAAGGGUUUUUUAACCGUGUUUCUGAAUAUUUUUCAAAAUAAUAAAAAAACUUAUUUUUUUUAUAAAAUAUUAGAAAGAUGUUGUCUAAUUCUCUAGAUGUUCUUUAAUGCUGCACAAGUAAAUUAAUUUCAUAAACUUUUCUUACUUAACCGUCUCUUAUCACGUCACUUUAACAAUUUUCAAAAUAAUAAAAAAUUUAGUUUAUCCGUCAAUACCUGUUAACAAUUUGAUCGGAAUGAAUGCAUAUAAAAAUUCACAUAGUCAUUUUUAAGGACCAAAUAAAAAUUUUGGCCAAACUACAGGGACCAAUGGUGAUAAAACACCAGCUAAUGCUUUCACAAGCUAUAACAGAUGCAAAAAAGCUGGUUUGAAGGCAGCAAGACUGGCACACGCCAGCAGACAGGUUUAUAUCAUUAUAGGCUUACUAUAUAUAACCAUGCGCACUGAUUCUACUUCUGAAUCGAUUUGAUCGGUUCUGAGUUCUGAGUUCUGAGUUCUGAGUCAGUUCUCCCAUAGAUUCUCUAGACUUACCCAGUAGGACCAGGCUGAUGUAAAGUUUAAUAGUUAGCUUUGGUUGGUGGGUGGCGAUGACUUCUAGGCAUGGAGAAUCAUAACUAAUAUGUUUUAGGAUUAAUUUCAUAAAUACCCAUUAAACUAUUACAUUUUAUUAUUUUCACAUUCUCAAUUAAAACGUAUAUCAUAUUGACUUAUUUAAUUAUUUAAAAAUAUCACUUAUAUCUUUUCUAUUACUAAUUUAUUUAAAAUAGUGAUGAAAAUCAAUCACGCGUUGUCCACGUGCUUAAAUUAAAUAUCAUUAUGUCUAAAAUACCAUUAUUUUUUUAAUAAAAAAUAAGCAAUACUCCAUGCACAAGCUUAUUCAGUCAUUGUGAGAAUAAACGUAACCCUUAUUAAUAAGCCUUUAAAUAGAGCGUUAACUAAAUUUUUUUAUUAAAAAAAUAAUAAUAUUUUUGAGAAAUUAUGAUAAAAACAACUUUCAAAAAUCAAUAAUCAAACAAAAAUUUAUGAAAAUUAUUCUGCAAAAUUAACUCUGAAAACUAAACCAAACAGAGCUUUUGAGUAAAGUUUUGAGCUUACUUUAGUUAUUUAAACAUUCUACUUGUAAGAUAGUGUGAGAAAAAAAUUAAAUUUAUUAUGGGAUUACUAAUGUCCGAUUAACCUUAUAUAUAUUGAAAAAAUGAUAAUUUUUACCAGGUUAUACAAUAUAAUUAGAUAAAUAGUUCGGUAAUUGAUACAAAUUCAGAAUGGGCCAUACAAGUGACCAGUUUUACUUUAAAACUUAAACAAGCGUACCAUGAUUAAUACAGUGAACCAGAGAAUUGUCUCAUUACACACUGUUUUUUGAUCAUAAAUAUUUUCCAGGGCCAGUUCUUCCAUUGCUUUCAAUAAUUCAACAUGAACUCAUCAAUAGUUCAGUUCUUAUAUUCCUAAUAGAACGGAUCAGCCUUCUCUAUAGUUUAAGUAUUUGGGGUUCUGUUUUGAAUGAGAACUUUAAGAAUAUUAAAAAUUAUGUUAAUCGAAUACGAAUCAGUGGUCGAUCGAUAUCAUUUUAUUUUAAAAUAAAUGGGUAUAAUCCUAUGUGUCACAAUCAUUUAUUAAAUUAUAAAAUAGUACUGAAUGGAUAUCGAUUUGUAUCCGGUCAACGUGAUGUUUCUACAAUAUUGAUAUUUAUUUUUUACAGUAUUAAUUUUCAUGAUAGAGUUUAUAAUAUGUACGUUUUGGAUCAUCAAAAUGAUCUCAAAAUGGUACCAAAAUGUCUGGAUUAUACUUUACCGUCCAAAUGCAGAGAAGUUGUGUCCUUAAUUUGAUGUUAUUUAAUAAAUUAAUUAUAUAUAAAUUGAAUGUAUCAUAGAUGAGAAGGUUUUAUUAUUAAUCUAUAAUUAAUUGGUUGCCUGCAUUUGUUUUUUAUUAAUGCCGGCCCAAAUAAUUAAUGCUUUGGUCAAAAUCUGAAAACCCAAAUAAUUAAUAUUUGGCUGUUGGACUAUUGAAGAAAAUAAGAUUAAUUGUACAAAUUUAUGUAUAAUAAUCAUUUUUUAAUUUUUUUUAGACAAUAUCAAUUCAUUUCUUAUAAUUUUCCUAAGCAAACCCAGAAAAAAAAACCAUGUUAUGAGAUAUUACUAAGCUUAAAGCCUUAAAUAUUGAUAAGCACAAAAAAUUAUAAUAUUAUUUGAAAAACUAAAGCAUCCGCCCUAAUAUUUCUAAAAAGGACGACUUUAUAACUGAACCUAAACAGUUUUCAUAUUUUGAAAGUUCUGUAUCAUAAUAUCAUUAUGAAGUCUACUAAGAACAUCCCACUUUAUGUAUAGCACUAACUAAUCAAUCAUCAAUCCAUUGAUCACUAUUCAACUAAUGUAAUUUUAAAAAAAUGCAGGAGGUGCACGUGCACCUUCUGGUCACAUGUCUCGUCCGCCCCUAGAGGUAUUGACAUCGAUAGCUACAUAAUCCAAGAACUUUUAUUUUAAAAGAAAUGAAUUUCAAGUAUUAUUUUGAGAAUAAUUUUACGAUGUACAAAUGUUAUCCGAUCAUAUUUGUAUUAAUGAUUGAUCAAUUUAUUCAUUGAUCGAUCAUAUGUUUAGCUGCUCUACAAAAUGAAUAAUUCAAAUUACGAAAAUGGACAUAGGGUGAAACCACGAAAAGAAUACUAUGUGAUGCAUUGCAUUCAGUUACAUCGGGGACACAAAAUUCCCUACAAGACUACAACUAAAUAAAGUUAAUCUGGCUUUUUUUUUAUUAUUAUUAUUCUCUAACUAACCCAAUUUAGGAAAUGUCUUUGGAUUAGAACCCAAAUUAAUUAGUCCUAUCCGCAAUCUAUUUUCUCGAAUCAUUCCCAAAAUUAAUGUCUUUUGUGAAAAGAGCUAGUGCGUUGGACUCGCGCUAAAUAUGGUACAAGGAGCAAAAGAUAAUGAAAUUAAAUAGAACCCACCAGUUAAAAAUAAAAAGCUCAGAACUAAAAAACGCAUUUAGCUUGAGGACAACAAGAAUUUAAUUUAGAGGUGGCAACAACAUGAUUUUUUGCCCAAUUAAAAAGUUAAAAAACCAAUAUAGAAAAAUAGCAAUAAUUUGUAUAAAACUAACUUUAACUCAAUCUAUCUGCUAAAGUGAGGUAACUUGACUUAUGUUCGACGAUUUUUCAUAAAAUUGAAAACAUCUAAAAUUGACAGAUCUACAUAACUUGGAGGUAACCCCCAUCACUUGUCUCCCUAGAUCGAUCGAUGAUGCAAACUUUAAAGCCACUGUUUUGGGGAGAGAGGGGGGAGAGAGAAUUUGCCCCCGGGCACAUAGCGUAGUAGUUGAGGACGAGCUUCCGAGAUGACGGAGCCCCCUAAUGCCCUGGUUUCGAUUUCUUACCACUGUUGCUGCAUAACCGCGUUUGCAUCUUGUGGGUGUAAAAGGUUAGCUGUCGCAAAUAACAGAUUAGUCUAGAUUUCAAAAUACUAUUAUUAAUAAAUAAAAAAAAAAGAGGGGGGAUGAGAAUUUUUUUGAUCGAUCGAUGAUACAUACGUACAACUCUCUCACGGUAGAACCGACAACAUAGAGGCGGAUCCCACGCACUCUAUGAUGAGAAUCUGAAAUAUGGAAAAAGGACACGCACUUGCGUCAAUGGCUUCCGCUCCACUACUAACAAAGCAAGGGGGUACGUUAUUUUUUGCUUUUGACAAGGUACAAAAGUUUUUGCUCCUAUCCUAUUACAAAUCCAUGAAAAGGGGUAGAUUUCAUCGUUGGUCCCUGUAAUAAGAAAAGUUUUAUUUUGGUGCCUAUAAUUUCAAGUUGAACCAUUAUAACCCAGAAGUUUUCAAUCAAUUCAAUUUAGUCCCUCCAUUCAAAUUCGUUAAAAAUAUUAACAGAAAAUGCAAAAAUAAAAUUAAAAAAUCCAUUCAAAUUUACGUUAGUAUUUUUAACGAAUUUGGAUAGAGGGACCACAUUUCAACUAAUUGAAAAUUAUAAAGUUGUAUUUGUUUCAAUUAUCAAUUAUAAUUUCAAGAAGUAAAGAAAAUUUUUUCUAAACUACUGGAAUUGAUGAUAACAUUACCCACGAAAGAACUAUUCGUAUUGACUGUAUUCAGGGCUGUAAAAUAAUUCAGUUUACUUCUUGUUUCUAAGUUUUUUUUACCAUAAUUACUUUCGAGAGAGAAAAAAAAAACUUGUUUGCUUGACGGUUUUGAAAACUUAUUUUCUCAAAAUAUGUGAUAUUUAUAAAAUGUUUUUAUGUCAUUUCACAGGUAUUAAGAUCUGUCUAUUUGACAUGCCACUCCAAAUCACAUGGAUUGAUUCAUUUUUAGACAUAUGUUAUGGGUAAGGGGUAAUUUCCUAAUUUUUAAUAUCAAUAGAUUGCAUAUGAUUCAUCCUAAUUACUCAAAGGUUAGCUAUUUUUGAGGUGUUAGUAUGAAAUGUAUUGUUUUGGGUAGGGAGCCAUUUACCAUGAGAACAAAAGCUAAGAGUUAGUUAGCACAAAUUAAACUUUAGACCCAUUUGAUUCAGCUUCUAAAAUUUUAGACCCGUCUUUCCAAUUUAUCUGACCAUUUUAGAAUAUCCCAAAAUAUUUGUCCAAUUUAAAAAUUUAUAACAUAAAAUAUAUUAGUUUUCAUACACUAUCACUUACAAAUAAUCGUAAAUACUUGAAGUGAAUUAAAUGCACAUUGCCUUGAAAGGUAAAAACUUUCAAAUGAACAAACAAAAUAGGACAGAGAAAGCAAUUGCAUGCCCAGUGGACGUGACAUUAAUGGGCGGCUCAGGAGAAUGCUAUAUAAAUAAAAAAAAUAUCUGACAAAAUUAAAUUUUAUUAGUUAGAGUUUAAUAGAUUUUGAAGGCUAUAGUUCAAAUCUUAGGGAUUAGACCAGGUAAUAACCUAAUAUACAUUGAACAAAAAGACUACAUGUAGCUGGAAGUAAUAAACUUUUGGAAUUUGAAAUAAAAUCUUGAAAGAACUUAUUAAAACUUAUUGUGACAUGUAAUAAUAAAAUCUUAAAACUAUAAAUAAAAUGAUUAAAUGAUCAUACGAAUAACUCAACUGUGACAUCAGUUCAUAAACUAAUAAUUUGAAAAAAUAUAUUAAUAAUAAAGUGAUACGAAUAACUCAAUAGUUACAUUAGUUCAUAAAUUAAUUAUUUGAAGAAAAAAAGUAUUAAUGAUUAAAUAAUACGAACAACUCAAUUGUGACAUCAGUUUAUAAACUAAUUAUUUGUAAAAAAUAUUUGCUUCUGGGCAUUACCCCUUGAGAGCUUCACUUAAUCCAAUAUACCUUAUUAUAUAACCUAUGAAAGGAAAUAAAUUUUUAAUUAAUAAUUACACUUAAUUUAUAUUGCUUGUUUUAUGUAGCGAGGAGUUGGUUCUUAACAAGAUUCUAUUCUUUCACAUAAAAGGAAAAUUAUUACAAAAGAAAAAAAAGAAAAAAAAAAAGGGGAAAUUACAUAAGAAAACCAUCAUGGGAACAAAUUAAACUCUAUAAUUUUAAUUAUAAUAAAUUAAACCCUAAAUUUGAAUAUGGUAAUAAUUUAAAUUAUCUAUUAGUCUCCGUCCACCUAAGAUGAACCAAAACAACUGAUUUCCAUAUGAAAACACGUCAUAUGUGAUCUUUCCCCUUUUAAAAACUCAAAUAGCAUAAAAUUAUAAUACAAACUUAGUGUGUUUAAGGCAAACACAACACUUAAACUCUCUAAUUUGCAUUAUAAUUGAUUCGAUUAUUAGGCUUUUAAAAAAAUAUAGCCUUAUACGAAGUUGUUUUCAUGCAUUUUGCAUGAGAAUCACUUAGUUACACUAGUUUUAAAUAGAUAAAGACUAAUAAAUUAUUAAAUUAUUAUCGAAUUAAAAUUAUAAUAUUUAAUUUAUUACAAUUAAGAUUAUAAAAUUUAAUUUAUUUCAAUGCUCAAAUUCUGUUUGUUUUUUUUUAAUUUUUUCCAAGACAAGAGAUAGAAACCAUGACAGAGAAAUGUGGAGACGUGGCAGAAUAAUCACAUGGCGAGGGACCAAUGUGAAGGUGGAGGUGUCAGCAAGGCCGAGCCCUUGUUUUCAUUUUCAUUGUUGGAAAGCUGCACUAUCGUGCGCACGUCACCAUCUUGAUGCCCACCGCCUUAGCCCCACAAUUCAUUUAUUUUUGGUUUACAAAAUGUAGAAAAAAGUAAUUUUUAUUUUAUACCUUUCACCUUUCACUUUUUGUUAUUUAUAUUUUAAUUUAAAUAUAUUUAAUUUUAAAUUUUAGAGAUAAUUACAAUAUGGACCCUUCGUUCACAUCUGUUAUAAUCUGCGAAUGAAAAUAGUCACGUGCCAUUCACAUAAUCUAUACAAAGAAAAAAAUAGUUUUUUUGAUAGUUUUUGAUAUAAAAAUAUUUUUUUUCAGUAUUUAGUGAACUUUUAUCCAAAUUACAUGUAAAUUUUUAUAUUUUUAACAAGAACCGAUAAAUUACAAAUUUUUGAUAAAACAGUGGAAAAAAAUCACUAAAAACGAAAAUAAUAUUAUAUUUAUACUAAUUUAAAAACUCUAAUAUUGUCAUGUGCUUGAAAGUUGAAAUAUAGCCAUUUUUAUCUAUAAAUUCUAACGAAUAUGAAUAAAAGGUCCACGUUACAAUUAUUUUAAACUGGAAACACAAGGCUGAUCAGAUCCAGCCUUUGAUCAAAGUUUCUUACUUUUAUGAUUUACUUUAACUAGAAUAACUCGAAAAUAAAAAACUAAUUAAAGAAUUUAAUAAAUUACUUUUAAAAAAUUUAUCCUCAGUGGGGUUUUUUUUUCCAACUUUAUUCAUUCAUUUUUUUUUUUUACUUUUACUGUGUUUGGACUCAAAAAGCUAAAGAUUUGGUUUGUUUUUAAAAAAUUACUGCAGAAAACUGGAUUUUUAAAAACACCUAACAGGGUAGUCAUUUUGCAACUUUUAAUUUUAGAAAAUUACUUUCAAAAACAAAAAUAUUAAAAAAACGGUAACAGAAACUUAUCCGUUUGUUUUAAUUUCCUUUUUUUUUUUACUGCUCUAGUUGGUUUUAAACCUUUGAGUCUGUACAUCUGACUAACUCCGUUAACUUUCUAACGCCACCCCCAUUCCCGUAAUUUCUCCAAGGAGACCCCUGCAAACUUCUAUUUGGAAUGUGCUGUCACGCGCUGUCAACACGCGUUAGAUGCAACGUUUGACCCACCUCUGUUCACGUGGGUCUGGGUAAUGUACCAAUGAAAUGUUAUUUCUGUAGUUCUGUGAUAAGAGUAUCAAUAGUCUCUCCCCCUACUGUUCAUCUUUUUCCCCGCGCAUUCAAUAGCGCGUAGAGAAUACGAAAGAAAAUUAAUGCAAUCAAUCAAAACUUAUGCUUUUUACUUUUCACCAAAUGUAUUUUAUUUGUUAUUAUGUAAGAUUAUAAUAAUGUCCUUAAUAUUUUUUUGCAAUACUGAAAUUAUCCCUUCUCAUACAAUUACACUUUUACUUAUUUUUUUAUAUUUGAGGGGUAGUUUAGGCAUUUAUUAAAAAUUUGUAUGUCUGACUAAAAAAUAAUUAUACUAAAACCUGAAUUACGUUUUUUUAAAUGUUUUAUAUGUUUUACUAUUUAGGUAAAUUCAGAUAUUAAAUCAUUAUUUUUUAUAUUUUAUUAAUUAUAUUUUUUAUUAAUUUUUAGAGCACAUAAUCAGGUGAGUUUGAACCACUUAUUUUGACUUCUUAAAAUUUUUCUUGGUCAAAUUCUGGGACGUAGUAGAGCUCUAAAUAUUUUCAAUAAUUAUAAAAUAUUUUGAUAAUUGUCAAUAAUCUUUGAUAAUUAGAGAGGACUUAAAUGGCAGUUCCAUAAAUAAUGGUAUUCUUUCAUAAUUUUGUACAAAAACUAAUAUUAAAAUAAUAUGACAGUGGCAAUUUUAAAAACAUAAAUCACAGUGAUGGAUGCUUUUGUCUUCGAAUACAAAGUUCACAACUAACUAAAUUAUCUUGUUUAAAAAUUUUUGUACAAUUUUUUUUUAUAUGUCAUUAUUCUUCUAUAAAUUGUUUUGGUUGUUCAUCUUGAAUUUGUUUAAGUAAUUAAAAUAAAUUACAUCAAUUCAAAAAAGAAGUUAACCACGCAUUAAAUAAAGUUCA